rnacentral:pre_miRNA from 1 species
UUUCUACUCCCUCCGUCCGGAAAUACUUGUCAUCAAAAUGGAUAAAAAUAGAUGUAUCUAAAACUAAAAUACGUCUAGAUACAUUUCCUUUUAUCCAUUUUGAUGACAAGUAUUUCCGGAUGGAGGGAGUAUUUG